rnacentral:rRNA from 1 species
GACGAACGCUGGCGGCGUGCUUAACACAUGCAAGUCGAACGAAGAGCGACGGAAGCUUGCUUCUAUCAAUCUUAGUGGCGAACGGGUGAGUAACGCGUAAUCAACCUGCCCUUCAGAGGGGGACAACAGUUGGAAACGACUGCUAAUACCGCAUACGAUCUAACCUCGGCAUCGAGGAUAGAUGAAAGGUGGCCUCUACAUGUAAGCUAUCACUGAAGGAGGGGAUUGCGUCUGAUUAGCUAGUUGGAGGGGUAACGGCCCACCAAGGCGAUGAUCAGUAGCCGGUCUGAGAGGAUGAACGGCCACAUUGGGACUGAGACACGGCCCAGACUCCUACGGGAGGCAGCAGUGGGGAAUCUUCCGCAAUGGACGAAAGUCUGACGGAGCAACGCCGCGUGAGUGAUGACGGCCUUCGGGUUGUAAAGCUCUGUUAAUCGGGACGAAAGGCCUUCUUGCGAAUAGUGAGAAGGAUUGACGGUACCGGAAUAGAAAGCCACGGCUAACUACG